UACGAAGGGGGCUAGCGUUGUUCGGAAUUACUGGGCGUAAAGCGUAUGCAGGCGGACUUUUAAGUCGGGGGUGAAAUCCCGAGGCUCAACCUCGGAACUGCCUUCGAUACUGAAAGUCUUGAGUCCGGGAGAGGUGAGUGGAAUUCCGAGUGUAGAGGUGAAAUUCGUAGAUAUUCGGAAGAACACCAGUGGCGAAGGCGGCUCACUGGACUGGUAUUGACGCUGAGGUGCGAAAGCGUGGGGAGCAAACAGG
rnacentral:rRNA from 1 species